rnacentral:tRNA from 1 species
UCCCUGGUGGUCUAGUAGUUAGGAUUCAAUGCUUUCAUCUAUGCAGCCUGGGUUCAAUCCCUAGCCUGGGAA